CCUACGGGUGACAGCAGUGAGGAAUAUUGGUCAAUGGGCGUAAGCCUGAACCAGCCAAGUCGCGUGAGGGAUGAAGGUUCGAUGGAUCGUAAACCUCUUUUAUAAGGGAAUAAAGUGCGGGUCGUGUCCCGUUUUGUAUGUACUUUAUGAAUAAGGAUCGGCUAACUCCGUGCCAGCCGCCGCGGUAAUCCGGAGGGUCCGAGCGUUAUCCGGAUUUAUUGGGUUUAAAGGGUGCGUAGGCGGCCUUUUAAGUCAGCGGUGAAAGUCUGUGGCUCAACCAUAGAAGUGCCGUUGAAACUGGGUGGCUUGAGUAUGUCUGAGGCAGGCGAAAUGCGUGGUGUAGCGGUGAAAGGCUUAGAUAUCACGCAGAACCCCGAUUGCGAAGGCAGCCUGCCAAGCCAUGACUGACGCUGAUGCACGAAAGCGUGGGGAUCAAACAGGAUUAGAUACCCCGGUAGUC
rnacentral:rRNA from 1 species